rnacentral:misc_RNA from 1 species
CUGAUCUGAUCGAAAACCCUUAUUAGUCAAUAAAUCUCUGCUCAAGCCCCCUGUAGCUAAUUUCCAAGAAGAUUGCAGCAGCGGUUUAAUUUGCGGAGUAAGCCAUGUUUACCCGGCUGUUUGGAAAACCUAAGCAGGAAACGAAUGCUCUAACUACGUUAGACAAAUUAAAUGAGACUCUUGAAAUGCUGGAGAAAAAAGAGAAAGUACUUGUUAAAAAGGCUGCUGCGGAAGUUGAAAAGGCCAGGGAAUUCACCCGGGCAAGGAACAAAAGAGCGGCUAUUCAAUGUUUGAAGAG